rnacentral:rRNA from 1 species
UACGUAGGGUCCAAGCGUUAUCCGGAAUUACUGGGCGUAAAGAGUUGCGUAGGUGGCAUAGUAAGCGGGUAGUGAAAUUGUGUGGCUCAACCAUACACCCAUUAUCUGAACUGCUAAGCUAGAGGACGAGAGAGGUUAUUGGAAUUCCCUGUGUAGGAGUGAAAUCCGUAGAUAUAGGGAGGAACACCGAUGGCGUAGGCAGAUAACUGGCUCGUUUCUGACACUAAGGCACGAAAGCGUGGGUAGCAAACGGG